GGAGAUGUAGCUCAGUGGUAGAGCACUUGCCUGGCAUGUGCAAGGCCCUGGGUUCCAUCCCCAGCAUCACAC
rnacentral:tRNA from 1 species